rnacentral:rRNA from 1 species
AUUGAACGCUGGCGGCAUGCUUUACACAUGCAAGUCGAACGGCAGCACGGACUUCGGUCUGGUGGCGAGUGGCGAACGGGUGAGUAAUACAUCGGAACGUACCCAGAAGUGGGGGAUAACGCAGCGAAAGUUGCGCUAAUACCGCAUACGUUCUACGGAAGAAAGUGGGGGAUCGCAAGACCUCAUGCUUUUGGAGCGGCCGAUGUCUGAUUAGCUAGUUGGUAGGGUAAAGGCCUACCAAGGCGACGAUCAGUAGCUGGUCUGAGAGGACGACCAGCCACACUGGAACUGAGACACGGUCCAGACUCCUACGGGAGGCAGCAGUGGGGAAUUUUGGACAAUGGGCGCAAGCCUGAUCCAGCAAUGCCGCGUGAGUGAAGAAGGCCUUCGGGUUGUAAAGCUCUUUUGUCAGGGAAGAAACGGCUGCGGCUAAUAUCUGCGGCUAAUGACGGUACCUGAAGAAUAAGCACCGGCUAACUACGUG